UAAAUUAAAAAACAAUAUAACCCUCACGAUGCCCUCCCUCUCACGACGCCAUCUCCUUCGUUAACUCUCAUCUUUUCCGAUCCUUCCUCAACGAAAAGGGAGGCGCUUCUGAUAAGAGGUUUUUAUUCUCUCUCUCUAUAUUCUAUGUUCUAUUUCUAUGUUUGACCCUGUUUUUGUCUUCUCCCUUUCCAACUUCAGAAAUAAAUAAAAAGUUUGAUGAUGAAAUAAAUAAAAAUUUAUCAAAUUGAGUUAUUACAUAUAUUAAUAAAAAAUUAUUCAAUCUAUACAUACGUCUACUGAUAGAGGUAAUGUAUACAAUCGUAUUUCCAUACCCAUUAAUGGGUUGUAAUAUAUAAAUUUUAAAUUCCACCAGAUGUGAUUCCCUUUUUUGAAAUUUUUUUGCUAAGUUAAAGUAAAUCUCAUUUAUAUACACUUUUUGACAUUUGCUUCUUUAGAUAAAAACACAUGUACAUUUUAUUAUUAGAGAUAUCCAUUCAUUAAUGAAUUAAAAUUUAAUAUUUUUAUAAAAAGUUAUUAAUAGUUAAAAUAUACUUUCUUUAUACUAAAAUUGAUUUCAAAUUAAUAAAAGUAAAUUUCUUCCUCAUCCUAAAAUGAAUUUUAAAAUUUAUACAAACGUCAGUUAUUAAUAUAUAUAAUAACUCAAUUUGAUAAACUUUUUUUUAUUUCAUCAUCAUUCUUUAUCCUAAAUGUGGUCCAGUAUGUAUCGACAUGAAUUCUAUACAUGAAAGGGACAAAAGUUGGGGUAGGGACCUGCAGGCAAACUUUAGACAACAACAUGUGAUAUCCAUUUAAACCUAUAGACCUCAAAUAAGGUAAUGGAAUCACCAAAACCAAAGGACAUCGUAACCUCAUCAGCACUCCUUAAAUUACAUAAUCACUUAAAGCACCACCAAAACCAGAGUCUCUGGACUGCUAGGAUGCUUGGAAACCAUUUUCACCACCUCCAACAUUGAUCACAAUUUCUCAAAUCUAGUUAUAGUGGGAAGUAGAAGUAAUUAAAACAUAACUCAUAGGAGCCAGAAAAAGGUACACAUAAACUCUCAAAUUUGGUUGACAUUAAAAUCCUCAAGAUGAUUGAGUCUAUCUCUCUAGUGAAUGAGAUGACAAUUUUUAAUUACUUUAUCUAGUAAUUUCUGCUAAUUUCUGGUCAAUGUGAUGAUAAAGUUGAAAUCGAAAGUUGACGAGAUGGUCGACAUUUAUGGUAAUGUGGGGGAUUAUUGUAGGACUUAUAUACUCUUUGAUUAUGUGGAUGAUUUAUCUGGUGAUUCGUUCUCAAUUAACUAGUGAUCGAGUAUAUCUAUCUGGUGAAAGGGAUGACAAAAUUUAUAAUCACUUUAUGUGGUGAUUCCUUCUAAUUUAAGUAUAUUUGUGUCUAUUUAUCUGGUGAAUGACAAAAUUUAAAAUCUUCAAGGCAGCUAAGGAAUUAGAUGAAUUAUCUAGUGAAUCAUAUUCAUAUAACUGGUGAUUGGAUAUAUUUAUGUGUUGAAUGGCAAGACUUAGACAUGCAACUUAGGUAUUGGAUGAUUUAUCAGGUGAUUCAUUCUCAAUUUACUAGUGAUUGAGUGUAUCUAUCUGGUGAAUGGGAUGACGAAAUUUAUAAUCAUGUUAUCUGGUGAUUCCUGCUAUGAGGGAAAAGAAUGAAAGAUUUUGAAAACCAUCAUUUAGGUUGCAACUGGAAAACCAUAUGAGGGUUGGCAUGGAAGUAUUAAAAUCACAAGAAACCCAAAGAUUAAUAGAUUAUAGUAUGCUUGGCAAGAAAAACUUAUCUUUUUUGCCAAAUAACAAUUGUCAUUUACUGCAAAUUUGAAAACGUGAUCUUCUAUGGCAUCACUUUUGAUGACAAAUCAAUUUGAUCUUCUACAUGCUCCGAUGCGGUAAAGAGUGUUAAUAUAUGUGAGGUUUUGAAGAAAUAAGAGAAAGUUGUGUUAAUGGAGAAUUUGGACCAUGUUGAAGAAUGAUCUGUAAGAUAAAGGUGGGUUUGUGAAAUGAUGAUUAUGUGAGAUUGUGCUUGCCAAUCUAGUUUUCCCAACAUAAUUAUUGCCAUGGAUGAAUAACCUUGUAGCAUUUUUUUGAAUUGUUAAUUUGAAACAAUGAAGAACCAAUGCUUCUGAUAUUGAAGGAACUUUCUCGGAGUGCCAUGGCACAUUCUCCUGCAACUUUCACCUUUUCCCUUGAACCACCAUUGUAUGUUGAAUUUCCAAGAGUAGGAGUAAUCUUUACUUCUUUAUCUUUAACAAUGCACUUAACAGAAUCCAAGAUUGUUGUUUCUUCCUUCUUUUUUCAUAAGCUACAUCAUUGCUGAAAUUGAAUUCAAUGGUACAUGAUUGUUGAUGCUGGAAGUGAGGGAGAAUGUUGGAGCUAUAAGCUGGUCUUGCUGGAUCAGAGUCAGCAAAAGACAUGGAACUUGAAUUGGUAAAAAACUUGCAAACACCAUCAUGUAUGUAUAGAUGAAGCAACAGAGACAAAAACAUAGGUUUCUUCUUGACCAAUCCGUUCCUCAUUAUCUGACCCACAAUGCAUAAAGAAUUUGCUCAUAAGCAAAGAAUGCACGAGAAGCGAAGUUCAUGGAUAAACAGCUGAAGACAUAAUUAUAUUGCUCUAAUACCAUGUUAAAUUUUAGUAUGAGUCAUGAACAAUCUUCUUGACGAAACAUGAAAGAUGAUGAGAAAACGCAUGAAUGAGAAAGAAAAGAAAAACUUAAAACAUAAAGAAGGAAGAAGGAGA
rnacentral:lncRNA from 1 species